AGAACGAACGCUGGCGGCAGGCCUAACACAUGCAAGUCGAACGCCCGUAGCAAUACGGGAGUGGCAGACGGGUGAGUAACGCGUGGGAACGUGCCCUUCGGUUCGGAAUAACUCAGGGAAACUUGAGCUAAUACCGGAUACGUCCGUAAGGAGAAAGAUUUAUUGCCGAAGGAUCGGCCCGCGUCGGAUUAGCUAGUUGGUGAGGCAACGGCCCACCAAGGCGACGAUCCGUAGCUGGUCUGAGAGGACGAUCAGCCACACUGGGACUGAGACACGGCCCAGGCUCCUACGGGAGGCAGCAGGUGGGGAAUAUUGGACGAAUGGGGCGAAAGCC
rnacentral:rRNA from 1 species